CAAUAGCCAUCUAGAUAUGUCCGUAACCUACUCAUCGCCAGCCUUUAGCCCUACUCCACAGUCAACACAUCUCCACCGUUAAAUCAUCUCCCAUCUCAUUCAAUCCAAACCGUCCAAUCAUCCUAACCCGCGUUAUAAAAUGACGCAUCAUUUCUUCAUGAACUUGCACUCCAUUUUCAACCUCUUCCUUUUUCACCAUCUCUUCUCUUUUCAGAUCUGUUAACAAUCAUUUUUCUGCUAAUGGAUUGGUAUUUAGAUGUGUAUAGAUCGUUCGCCGAUCUACAGUUUGAGUAUAGUUUCGAGUUUGUUUGCUUUUGAAUGUGCGUUCUGACUGUUUUGUUUAGGAUCUAAACAGCGGUUACAACGUAUAUUCAUGAUCAAACAAGAUAGAAGGAAGGAGAGUCUUAAUCUACUAAUUUUAUUGAGUCACCCUUUCAAUGAGAUGUAUCGUUUUGAGUUGCAUCUCCUAUGGGCAAGCUGUCGGUAACGGUCAGAUCUGAUGGAUUUGAUACGAGAUUGAGAGCUUUAAACAAGGUUUUGACCUUUGUUUCGUUGUUCGCUGUUAGAGUUUUGUCGGUGAUCAUCAUUUUAUGUUGAUUGAUUGCAAGUGGAUAUUGAUGGUCCUCGAAAUUAUGCUAGAUUGGUAAUCGGCAAGAGUGAGGUUGUGAGAUAAGGUUAUCAUAGUUUAAUUUGUUGUCAGUUAUAUCAGCUUAAUUACUAUUAUGUGCAUGCAUAUAUAAGAGUUGAUGAUGUGGCUAGAGAGAAAAGAGAGGAUAUGUGAGGUUCUUAUUUUUUGUUGUUGUUGUUGUUGUUGUUUGCCGACCUUUGCCAUGAUGGGUGCGCUCGCAUGGCAGGUCAAAAUACCUAAUAAAGUUUCUAUUUUUUUG